AUUGAACGCUGGCGGCAUGCCUUACACAUGCAAGUCGAACGGCAGCGACGGGGGCAACCCUGGUGGCGAGUGGCGAACGGGUGAGUAAUACAUCGGAACGUGCCCGGUAGGUGGGGGAUAGCUCGGCGAAAGCCGGAUUAAUACCGCAUACGACCUGGCGGGUGAAAGGCGGGGGAUCGCAAAGACCUCGCGCUAUCGGAGCGGCCGAUGUCAGAUUAGGUUGUUGGUGGGGUAAAGGCCUACCAAGCCGACGAUCUGUAGCUGGUCUGAGAGGACGACCAGCCACACUGGGACUGAGACACCGGCCCAGACUCCUACGGGAGGCAGCAGGUGGGGUAAUUUUGGACAAUGGGCGCAAGCCUGAUCCAGCCAUGCCGCGUG
rnacentral:rRNA from 1 species